UGAUUCGCAUACGCGGACGCGACAAACCAAACCGGCGCGCGCCGCCUAGAGUUAUAGGCUCCGCCUACGCGCGCUGAGCCGACCAAUGUCUGCACCCGCAGACGUGGACGCGCCUACUAGCGUGUACGCGCAUGAGCCAAGAUCUCUGGACUUUCUUUGCUGGAACACGAACGUAAGUAUAGAUUUAUUGAUUUAUUGCUACAUUCGCAGUAAAGAUCAGCCUUUGUGUUUCCAUCAUCGUUUAUGUAUGAUUGUAAUGACGUUGUUUGAUAUUAGGACUAGCAGUAAAACUUUAUAUUCUGUAAAAAAAGGCUUUAUUUCCAGCGCCGCCUCCCAGAAUGCUUUGCAUGGGGACGUGCGUCUGACGUCACGUAUACAGAAAAUUCGAAAUGGCUGCACGCGAAUGUGAAAGUUUCCCGCGUGAAGCCGUGGAGCUCGAGAUCCUGUUUACUGUGGACUAGCUGUGUGUGACGCCAUGUUGUUUUUGUUUCCAUUACAAAAAAAAAGCUCCACCGUCUCGCCGAGUGCCAGCAAGAGUCAUGAGUACUUGUCAACUCGACUCCUCAACUGGAGAUAACUUUCUAGCACCUCACCAUGGGGAAGGAUGUAUUCAUAUGCCUUCACCAGCACAUGCAUUUAACAUGCAGAGAGUUACACAAG